ACAACGGUACACAGACGGUGGGUUAUUCUAAGUGCCUCUUAUGGCAAGUACAUGCGUUUCAGGGUCCUGUGGUUUAAUGGCAGUGUGGACUUACGUGAAAUAACAUAAUUUAACUUUUCUCCACGCUCACAGUUGUGCAUGUAUUACUUUCCCUAAACUUGCCAUUUCCAUCUUUAAUCCUUCCGCUUCCAUCUUUAAGCAUGUUACUCAUCUCCGUUUUUAACUUCCUCAUUUACACUCUGUUGCCUUUCUGCAUACUCCUUUAUUUCUUCAAACAUUACCGUAUCCAUAGGUUUAUUUUUCCUUCUUCCAUCAUGCCACUUCUCUUACCAUAAUCAACGGCUCUGGAGAGCCACCUGUCGCCAUUAUUACACAGUUAUUGUAAUUAUGUUUCUAAAAUAUAAAACAAGACUGUUCCUGGACCCACAAAA